GUAGAACGCCGUGCUGUGCGGUGUCAGCUCGGGUGCGCGCCUGUUCUUCCGGUGCUUCGGCUGCUGUGACGUGUCGUGGUGACGCGAUCUCCCCCUACUCAGUGCACGGCCAGCCGGCAGAGACGGGAACUCAGGCGCCCUCCCAGGACUCAGAACCUCUCACCCUCGUCGCUUGGGGACGCCCGCCACUUUCGAUGGUGACUUGUCGACGAUGAGCUUUCUGGAUCGCGGACACAAGUAAGCUGCCACUAGCGUUUCCGUUGUGAGGUAUUGGUCAUCCCUUCUUCUGGACUGUGACAACGCAAAGAGUCUCCAAGUCAACAGUGUUGCUGUUUAAUUUCGAGUAAGCAGCCACUACUCGUUUCCGUUGGUGUGGUGCUGGCGAUUUCGUUUUUGACUGUGACAACGCAAUCUGACUACUUGCGAACACCGGUACUGCUUAAUUCCAAGUAUGUACCCAGGGCAUGUCAUCGUAACGUAAGUUGGCGGCUCUCUGUUGCCUAGCGGCCCGAGGUUGCAGUCUUUCUUCAGCCUGCCGCAAGAGGCGCUUUUCGAGCAAGUGGAUGGGGC